CCAUCACAGCAGGAGUGGCACAUGGGUACUUUUCUCCUCAAGUGCACUGAGUGUCCCUACAUGCGCUGGGCUCUGGCCAGCGGCUCCAUGUUUUACUUAAGUUCCUUGCUUCCCUCUGGGAAGUACUUUGCCACUUGGUACUGGCUGUUUCUUGACUCGAGAUUCUCCUGCCUCAGCCUCCUCUUGCUGACAUUGCAAGGGCGUUCUACCAUGCCUAGCGUUGUUUUCCUUGCUGAGUCCUUUGGCCCGGGGAAAGCCUGCUGGCAGUGGUCCUGGAGGGAGACUCUGUUCUGGACACAAGCGGGGCUGGCCUUGGAUCCGAGUUAUUUACACAAUUUCCUUUUUGAACCGUAGUGUAUUAGUCUUGCUGCAAAAAAAAAAAAAAAAA
rnacentral:lncRNA from 1 species